UCAGAACUACCAAUCUCACGUUAUCACGAUGGGGGGACGCAGGAGGCUAUGCGAGCCUGGAAAGGUCGCCCGCAAGGGAGGAGCCAGGUUGAGGCAUGUAGGGAGAUUCGCCAGGUAAAUCCGGUGAGUCGUUAAUCCUGAGGUGCCGAAGCGAGACCCGUCAGGGUCAUAAAGUCGCAGACGCCACGCUGCCGAGAAAAGCCUCUAAGGAGUGAGUUUGGUACCCGUACCGCAAACCGACACAGGUAGGCGAGGAGAAAAUCCUCAGGCGCAAGUGAGAACCAUCGUUUAGGAACUCGGCAAAUUGGCCCCGUAACUUCGGAAGAAGGGGUGCUCCAUACGCGUCAUUGGACUUGCUCCAUGAAGCGCGCAGGAGUUGCAAUAAAGAGGCCCAGGCGACUGUUUACUAAAAACACAGGACUCUGCGAAGUCGAACACGACGUAUAGGGUCUGACGCCUGCCCGGUGCCGGAAGGUUAAAAGGAGAUGUCAGCCGCAAGGUGAAGCAUUGAAUUGAAGCCCCGGUAAACGGCGGCCGUAACUAUAACGGUCCUAAGGUAGCGAAAUUCCUUGUCGGGUAAGUUCCGACCUGCACGAAUGGCGUAACGAUCUGGGCGCUGUCUCAACGAUGGACACUGCGAAUUUGUGGUACCGGUGAAGACGCCGGUUGCCCGUGGGUAGACGAAAAGACCCCGUGCACCUUUACUACAUCUUAGUAGUGAAUGCUGGCGUGGUAUGCGCAGUAUAGGUGGGAGACUUUGAACCGAGCCUCUUGGGGUUCGGGGAGUCAACGGUGAGAUACCACCCUUAUCACUCCGGCGUUCUAACCUCGACCCAUUAUCUGGGUCAGGGACACUGCUAGGUGGGUAGUUUGACUGGGGCGGUCGCCUCCUAAACUGUAACGGAGGCGUACGAAAGUUCGCUCAGGCUGUUUGGAAAUCAGCCGUAGAGUGCAAAGGCAUAAGCGAGCUUGACUGUGAGACAGACAAGUCGAACAGGUGGGAAACCAGGUCUUAGUGAUCCGGUGGUUCCGUGUAGAAGGGCCAUCGCUCAACGGAUAAAAGGUACGCCGGAUAACAGGCUGAUCUGAGCCAAGAGUUCACAUCGACGCUCAGGUUUGGCACCUCGAUGUCGGCUCAUCGCAUCCUGGAGCUGUAGCAGGUUCCAAGGGUCCGGCUGUUCGCCGGUUAAAGCGGUACGUGAGCUGGGUUUAGAACGUCGCGAGACAGUUCGGUCUCUAUCUCCCAUGGGCGCAGGAGAUUUGCGUGGGGCUGUCCUUAGUACGAGAGGACCGGGAUGGACGGACCUCUAGUGUAUCAGUUGUCCCGCCAGGGGCAGUGCUGAGUAGCUACGUCCGGAAGGGAGAAACGCUGAAGGCAUCUAAGCGUGAAACCCUCCACAAGAUGAGAUCUCCCUGGGUUAAUAACCCCUGAAGGCUCCUGGAAGACUACCAGGUGAUAGGCCAGGUGUGUAAGCGCAGUGAUGCGUUGAGCUAACUGGUACUAAUCAGCCGUGAGGCUUGACCAU
rnacentral:rRNA from 1 species